rnacentral:rRNA from 1 species
CCUACGGGAGGCAGCAGUAGGGAAUAUUGCUCAAUGGGGGAAACCCUGAAGCAGCAACGCCGCGUGGAGGAUGAAGGUUUUCGGAUUGUAAACUCCUUUUGUUAGAGAAGAUAAUGACGGUAUCUAACGAAUAAGCACCGGCUAACUCCGUGCCAGCAGCCGCGGUAAUACGGAGGGUGCAAGCGUUACUCGGAAUCACUGGGCGUAAAGAGCGCGUAGGCGGGAUAGCAAGUCAGAUGUGAAAACCUAGGGCUUAACCAUAGAACUGCAUUUGAAACUGUUAUUCUAGAGUAUGGGAGAGGUAGGUGGAAGUCUUGGUGUAGGGGUAAAAUCCGUAGAGAUCAAGAGGAAUACUCAUUGCGAAGGCGACCUGCUAGAACAUAACUGACGCUGAUGCGCGAAAGCGUGGGGAGCAAACAGGAGUAGAUACCCCUGUAGUC